rnacentral:rRNA from 1 species
AACGAACGCUGGCGGCAUGCCUAACACAUGCAAGUCGAACGAGACCUUCGGGUCUAGUGGCGCACGGGUGCGUAACGCGUGGGAACCUGCCCUUAGGUUCGGAAUAACUCCCCGAAAGGGGUGCUAAUACCGGAUAAUGUCUUCUGACCAAAGAUUUAUCGCCCUUGGAUGGGCCCGCGUUGGAUUAGCUAGUUGGUAGGGUAAAAGCCUAUCAAGGCGACGAUACAUAGCUGGUUUGAGAGGAAGAUCAGCCACACUGGGACUGAGACACGGCCCAGACUAUUACGGAAUGCAGCAGUGGGUAAUAUAGGAAAAUGGGCUAAAUCCUGAACCAGCAAUGCCUCGUGAGUGAUGAAGUCCUUAGAGUUGUAAAGCUCUUUUACCCGGGAUGAUAAUGACAGUACCGAGAGAAUAAGCUCCGGCUAACUCCGUG